CAGUCCGGCUUCCUAGGUGGGGCGCCGCGGGACCUCCCUCAUAUCUGUGGCGGUGGAAUCCCGUGGCCAUGUUUUCCUGGUGGCACGGCC
rfam:Gorilla gorilla gorilla genomic chromosome, chr2B, whole genome shotgun sequence